CAAGUUCAUCUGGAUCCCCCACCAUGUCCUGGGCCCCUCUGCUCCUCACGCUGCUCACUUACUGUGUUGGUUCUGAUGCCCAGUUUGUGCUGACUCAGCCGCCCUCAGUAUCAGCAUCUCCUGGGAAAACGGUUACGAUCUCCUGUGCCAGGAGCAGCGGCAGCAUCAGCAGUAGCUGGAAUUCCUGGUACCAACAGAGCCCUGGCCGAGCUCCGGUACUGAUUAUAUAUGAGGAUAGCAAGCGGCCCUCAGGGAUUCCAAGUCGAUUCUCUGGUGCCAUUGACAGCUCUGCCAAUGCUGCCACUCUAACCAUCUCUGGAGUCCAGGCCAACGAUGAGGCUGAUUAUUAUUGUGCUACAUACACUGGCAGCAGCAAUCCCACAGUGCUGCAGACCCAUGGGGAACUGAGACCAAAACCUCCCACGGCAGCUGAAGUGAAACUCCUCCAUGAUGGUCUUAGUGUGUCUUUGUGCUGCCUGAGGCCCUGCAGCAAAAUGAACUGUCUCUCCCCGUCACAGGUGUUACAAUCCCAAAUCAAGUGCAAAAUGGUGAGGUAGCUUCUGUGCGUCUUCUUCGGGGGAGGACAGCCAGGGAGGAGCUGCCCUGUGGGGAUGCGCUGAGGCAUUGUACUGGCAUGGGGUGGACAUAGGAGAAGGCCUCACAGGACGCUGGGGAGGCAGGGGCUGGUGAAAGGAGCAGCCUGUGCUUUCCCCAUCGCUGCUGCCCAAUGCUAGCGAUCCACAGGUGUUGUGGCCCUGUCCACUGCCCACCUGGGCUGGCCAUGCUGCCCUUAGAAUGGUGGGAAGACACCAGGUGGUUGCUGACCCCAAGCCAGAACUCCAGACGAGCACCGUGUCUAUAGUGGGUCUGGCUCCUGUGCAGAGGCAUUGAGAU